rnacentral:rRNA from 1 species
UACGAAGGGGGCUAGCGUUGUUCGGAAUUACUGGGCGUAAAGGGUGUGUAGGUGGUUUAGUACGUCAGGAGUGAAAUCCCCAGGCUCAACCUGGGAAUUGCUUUUGAGACUACUAGACUUGAGUACAGGAGAGGUGAGUGGAAUUCCCAGUGUAGAGGUAAAAUUCGUAGAUAUUGGGAGGAACACCAGUGGCGAAGGCGGCUCACUGGCCUGUAACUGACACUGAGACACGAAAGCGUGGGGAGCAAUCCGG